AUCCAUUUCUUCUAGAUUUUCUAGUUUAUUUGCAUAGAGGUGUCCUACUUUUUUAAAUUAAAAAUAAUAAAUUGUGCUGUCGGCAUGAAGUCAAAACUUGAUUCCAUUAAAAAAAAAAAAAAAAAAAAAAAGAUGUGUGGGAGUGUUUGGCUCGGACAGCAGCAGAAAUCUUUAAGCCAGGAAGACUGAACAGGCACAAGCAGAGAAGCCUGAGGAUGCAUCACAGAAGCCAGGCGAGGCCCAGGCCAGCUCAAUGCAGGGCACUGAGUAAUGAGGAAAGGACACUGACGACUGCGGGCCCCAACCAAAGGGAAGCCAGGGUGACAGUUCCCCCAGGCCCGGCCGUCCAGCCCAGGACUGCAGCUUCACCAUCAGUGUUUACAGCAAGAGCCUGUGCAGGAGCCAAAGGGAGGAACAGAAGGAGGUGUGGGAGAGUAAGCCCUUCCGCUUGUGGGCAGAUGCGCUGUCUUGAAGAGUGCUUGGCAUCUUCAAGUAAAAUUAGGGUUCCUGGGCCGCAGCCUCCAGUUUCUAACCUAGCAUCAGAAGGGACAAAUGAAGCUGAUCUUAAGCGAGCAACCUGAUAACCCACCUGCCAGAUUAGGAAAAGCAGGAAUAGACUGCUAAUGCAUCUGCUGGUCCUGGCUGGGCUUUUAAUAUGUAACCCCCACUGAUACCCCAGCUUCCUGUCUUACAGGUACAAGAAGACUGCUGUGAGGUGAAGCUCACAGGGGCAGCCAGGUGACAAGAAGUAAUAUAUUACCUGUUACUUGCACCUGAAGAGUCACGGGGCGGCCUCCAGGACUCACAAUCAUUGCAGAGCACUCACUCCCAACCAGGCACGUCUACAUUAGAAUCCUCUUUGCUGAUUGCUUUUCUCUGGAUACUGCCCUUGCAGGCAGGGCUGGACAGAAAAUGUCCUGGGUAGGACAGAUGAGAACGCCUGGGCUGGGACUGCAGAAGGCAGGUGAGUUCCAAGCCUCUGCUACUCCACGUGUGGCACUUGGACCUGCAGCACAGAAUCCCCUGGGAGCCUGUCAGAAAUGCAGAGUCCCAGGCCUAGCAGUCAGCAUCAGGUGGGUCAUGAGCACCCUGCUCUGAGGAGCACAGGGCUGAGCCACAGCCAGGAGGAAAGCUGCUUUCUCCAGUCAGCACCACACAGAGGGUCAGGAAAUGCACGUGCUAUGGCCAUUUUGGUUAAGGUGAGAUCAGCUGUGAGCCACUGAAAACCACAAACACAGGAGUUUAAACAAGACAGGAGUUUCCUUCUCUCUCACGAAACAGCAUAGAGAAAUGUAGUCCUGGGCUGGCGUCAUUGUUCACCUUUAUAAAGGCAGGAGACUACUCCAUCUUUCUUCCCUGGCGUCUUCGAUAGUUGAUCCUCCUCAUGUUCCAAGAUGGCUGCAUGAGCUCCAGCCCCCACACUGCACUCCAUCAGCCUGGAACAGGGAGGCCACCAUCCUUAUCUGACUCUACUCUCUUCUCCAGUCACCUGACACUUGCGCGCAGCUUCACACAAAGCAUAGCAGCCGUCACCUGCAUCCUGGGACAAGCCCUGGGAAAGCCUAAGUAAUUCUGCCGUGGAGCCAGGCAGGAGGAUCUGUGUGCCCUGUGUCCCCCACCCCACAUGGAAAGAGCCUGACCAACAUCCGUCUACAGGACCCACCAGGGAGGAAAGAGAAAAAGUCACUUCAUUUAGGAAACAUCUCUCAAAACCCAGGAGAUCUGCAGGACUGGGAGUAGAACAGAGGGAAGGCGCUGUUUGCAAUCUCACUGACAAUCACAGCAUGUUAACCUAAUAGAAGCAGAGGAGUCUCCAGCAUAUCCAAUUAUGUUAGCAGGCUGGGCAGGAGUCAGGCCAUUAUCUCACUCAUCUGGACGGACUCCAUUAUGCCAUUGCUCUUUCUUGAUUAAAUCUUCUCUAACGAUGUCUGUCCAGGGAGGGAGAGAAUCAUUGCAUCUGCUGGAGGAGAUGUGACGGUGGCAGGUGGUGUCCCCAAGGACCAGCACCACCUAGCCCCUCUCCCAGCCCUGGGGCCUUGAGCUGGUUUCACCCCUAACCUCUGCCCUUGACCACAGUGAGGAGCAUUGUUCCUACUAAUGGUCACUCCAACCUGUGGCUCAUCUUUGAUUCUGUCUUCUUCAUUCUCUCGGAAACACUUUAGACAGCUGACUAGUUCUUCCACCUUGUAAAUGAACUAUUGAUUGUUCUCUCUGGCACUGCAUUCUCAAUCUUCCUCCUGCCUCUGUGACUUUUUAUCUGUCUCCACUAUUGUCUUGUCUCUGCCUCAUGACACCUAAACGUAGAUAUUCCCCAAGGCUCGAUUAUCAGCCACGCUCUCUUUGGAAACUCUCACUUGGGACUCCAUCUCCCCCAUAUGAAACAUUUCCUUCUCUGCAUCUCCAGUUCAACUCUCUCUCCCCACACUCUGUCUCCUCUGAAGUCCUGCCGUGUGACAUCCCUGGCAUGGGCAGGGCACAUCCAGUCAUCCGACACCCCAACACCCACUCUCACCAUUCUCCCGACACCCAGGUCCACAUCGUCUCAUGAUCCACAACUAAGGUUUAGGAGUGUGUUGGAUCUGACCACUGGGAG
rnacentral:lncRNA from 1 species